CUUGAUAACCUUGCUUAGAAACAUACGACUACUAUUACUAGUGAUGUAGAGACGAUGAAAGCAAACGAAAAACUAAGCAACUUUUCAGUUUUUUUAUUCCCAGUUAUACCGCGCGACCGCGGCUGGCGGGAAAAUUUGAAAGUUCCGAUGUGUAGGACAACUUUUGUCUACGGGCUAUGGGGGUUAAACCCCAUAUAAAUAAACAAAAAUUACCGACUGAUCCCCCGGCUCGAAUUCCAAAUAAAAUCGUAAAAACCCGCAACCCCCUAUCCCACGAAGCCACGAUUCAUCCACUUCAAGUUGAACUUCUUUUAUUACCCCUAGGCAAGAUUUGUUGAAUCUCGUCCUCACUCGACUGUAAAGAGGGUGAGCUGUCUCCAUCCGUAGACCCGCAACUUCCACUGCGCUGCGCACACACUUUCUAAAUUAUAAAUAAAAUUAGGGUGUCGGUCAAACCGGAAAAAAAUGGCACGAAUCCUCGUUGUAAAGGUGGAGUUGAAAGUCCUCGGGAUCUACAUCACUCAGCGCCCGAACAAGGAGAUCCUUCACGUCUAAGAAACCGCGACCAGUUGGCUGAUACAUCAUGGGAUACAUUUUGACGGUAUUGAAUUGGAGAUGGAAUUCGAGAUUCGAGAAUGAUUCGAGAUGGAAGUAUGAAACGCGGCGACGGCUUUUCGUAAACCAAGGACUCAGAAAAAUCGCCAAGUCGGAAUCUUGAAGUAAAACCUCAACGUUGUAACGGGACGGGUCCAAUCAGAAUCAUCUACAAGAGGAAAGAGGCCAUUCUGUAAAAAUGCAGGGUUCUGAUUCACUUAGUGGGCUCCACCCUGUUUAGAGGUAAGGGAUCUGAUUGACCACAUGGAGUCCACCCCAAAUAUUGGGACGGUGGCAUCGGGGAGCCCCAGCGUUGCCUUUGGCGAAAGUGAGUAACGGCGGUGCGCUACCCAACGUUUUCAUGUGGUUUCCGUGGACAAUAGCACCCUUGCAGCGCGAAGGCUAGGAGGGCCGCAUCCUGACGACAUUCUUUAUGCGAACCCUCGGAUCAAAGAGGCGGGGCGCGUGGCCGCCCGAAAAAAGCCACGAGGUAGCCGAUCAAAGAGGCGGAGCACGCUGAAGUGUGUGGAUUGAUCGGACGUUCUCAUCAUCAUUCCGCUGAAUCCACUUGCAAGUCCACCGUCGUCUUGGUUUUCUUACUUUUCUAUUCCUUUUACGGAGUAAACAACAACCAAUAACUGUAGUCAGUAAUGACAGAAGAAUCACGAUUUCAUCAUCAUCUCCAUUAAGAUUAUUCAUUUUAUUAGAUUAAUUUAAUCUGUUCUUCUUUCUUUCUGCCAUUUCCAAUAAUUAAACAAAUUCAAAAUUUGCUUCACUGUUCCUUUCACUUUUAGGGCGCAAUACGCGGAGUCACGAACAUAAAUAAGAGUUCUGAUUAAUUAGACCAUGACGCGGAUCUGUGAGGUUUAGGUUAGGUGCCAGCGAGCCCGCGCAGCCCAAAUACCAAAUACAAGUACCAACAUAAUUUUUUGCAAUCAACGAAAGACACUAGCCCGAACCCAUAAAUUCAACAUGUUCCUCUCCUCCUGAUCAUUGAUCUGGCGUCAUUUUGUUUGCAUAAAAUCAGAAUAUUUACAAUUAUUAUUUUUCAUAUAAACAUCAUUCUUCAGUAUAGCAACAUUUUUGUGAACGUUUUCCAUUAUCUGAAAUUUAGGAAAAAUAUUCACAUAUUUUUCUUUUAGUGAAGGAUAUAUAUAUUGGGGUUGCUUCACUCUUAAUGACGCAGCACCUCUUCAACCAAUGAACAUUAGGUUUCUUUUAUACCUCGAGUACUUCCGUGUGGAAUCCAUUUCUGAUUGGCUCUUGGCUCCCCUCUUCAGACUUCCACGAUCCACGA
rnacentral:lncRNA from 1 species